UAGGGAAUCUUCCGCAAUGGACGAAAGUGUGACGGAGCAACGCCGCGUGAGUGAAGAAGGAUUUCGGUUCGUAAAACUCUGUUGUUAGGGAAGAAAAAAUGUAUAGUAACUAUAUACAAAAGAGACGGUACCUAACCAGAAAGCCACGGCUAACUACGUGCCAGCAGCCGCGGUAAUACGUAGGUGGCAAGCGUUGUCCGGAAUUAUUGGGCGUAAAGCGCGCGCAGGUGGUUUAGAAAGUCUGAUGUGAAAGCCCACGGCUCAACCGUGGAGGGUCAUUGGAAACUAAUAAACUUGAGUGCAGGAGAGAAAAGUGGAAUUCCUAGUGUAGCGGUGAAAUGCGUAGAGAUUAGGAGGAACACCGGUGGCGAAAGCGGCUUUUUGGCCUGCAACUGACACUGAGGCGCGAAAGCGUGGGGAGCAAACAGG
rnacentral:rRNA from 1 species